GGGUCAUUAGGUUGGUCGUGCCACCGGUACGUACUGGUCUCACUGAUUCCUCCUUCCUGAAGAACCGUAAUGCCAUUAAUUUGGUGUUGCGGGGAAACAGGACUGUUACUUUGAAAAAAUUAGAGUGUUUAAAGCAAGCUAACGCUUGAAUACAUUAGCACGGAAUAAUGAAAUAGGACGAUCGAUCCUAUUUUGUUGGUUUCUAGGAUUGACGUA
rnacentral:rRNA from 1 species